UACGGGGGGGGCAAGCGUUGUUCGGAAUUACUGGGCGUAAAGGGCUCGUAGGUGGCCGACUAAGUCAGACGUGAAAUCCCUCGGCUUAACCGGGGAACUGCGUCUGAUACUGGACGGCUUGAGUUCGGGAGAGGGAUGCGGAAUUCCAGGUGUAGCGGUGAAAUGCGUAGAUAUCUGGAGGAACACCGGUGGCGAAGGCGGCAUCCUGGUCCAGCACCGACGUUCAGGCACGAAAGCGUGGGGAGCAAACAGG
rnacentral:rRNA from 1 species